rnacentral:rRNA from 1 species
UACGUAGGUGGCAAGCGUUGUCCGGAUUUAUUGGGCGUAAAGCGCGCGCAGGCGGUCCUUUAAGUCUGAUGUGAAUCUUGCGGCUCAACCGCAAGCGGUCAUUGGAAACUGGGGACUUGAGUACAGAAGAGGAAGCGGAAUUCCACGUGUAGCGGUGAAAUGCGUAGAGAUGUGGAGGAACACCAGUGGCGAAGGCGGCUUCUGGUCUGUAACUGACGCUGAGGCGCGAAAGCGUGGGAGCAAACAGG